GUGAGAAGCACUACUGGGGAGCUACACAUCAUAGCAGCACAGCAGACGACACACGACGGUAACUACACCUGUACCGUGGUCACUGAGAAAGAUGAUGAUGAUGAUCGCCUUCCACUAAUAGCAUCCUACCAUCUUGCUUUUAUCGUUAAAGUUUCUGUCAACAUCCAUAUCACCAGUAGCGAAUAUCCUUUAAUGGAGGAAACCAACGCUACUUUAAAGUGUGCGAGCAAUGAGCGGUCUGGUGUAAUAAAGUACACGUGGCCAGAAAAUGCAGGCGGGUUCCCUGAUGGCAGUAGCCUGAUCAUCACUAGAGUGACCAGGGAACAUCAUGGAAGCCGAGUAAGGUGUGAGGUGAUGUCUAGUGAUGGUGAAGUUGUCUCCAGUGACUCACUGCAAUUACAGGUUUACUAUCGUCCGGUUAUCAGGAUAACACGGAGUGACAAUCAGGGUCAGCCACUGUCCACCUACU
rnacentral:lncRNA from 1 species